rnacentral:rRNA from 1 species
UACGAAGGGAGCUAGCGUUGUUCGGAAUCACUGGGCGUAAAGCGCACGUAGGCGGAUGUGUCAGUCAGGGGUGAAAUCCCGGAGCUCAACUUCGGAACUGCCUUUGAUACAGCACGUCUUGAGUCCGAUAGAGGUGGGUGGAAUUCCUAGUGUAGAGGUGAAAUUCGUAGAUAUUAGGAAGAACACCUAUGGCGAAGGCAGCUCUCUGGGACGGUACUGACGCUGAGACGCGAAGGCCAGGGGAGCAAACGGG